rnacentral:rRNA from 1 species
UACAGAGGGUGCUAGCGUUGUUCGGAAUCAUUGGGCGUAAAGGGCGUGUAGGCGGUUUGUUAAGUCAUGUGUGAAAGCCCCCGGCUCAACCGGGGAACGACGCAUGAAACUGGCAAGCUAGAGUACCGAAGAGGGGGGUGGAAUUCCCGGUGUAGCGGUGAAAUGCGUAGAUAUCGAGAGGAACACCUGCGGCGAAGGCGGGUUGCUGGGCUGAUACUGACGCUGAGGCGCGAAAGCCAGGGGAGCGAACGGG